AAUACUUCAACAAUGAUGACGUCGUGCGUAGGUGCAGGUACAAUAAUAUUAGAAUUCUAAUUUUUUUUUUCUUCUUUAAACGCCAUUAGUUUCGUCCAUUCAGUCGAGUAAUUUUUUUCUCCCGACAAACACUCCAAAAAAUCCGCGCUUACCUACUUUCGACGCUUUCGCGAAAAAAUCAUUUCUACUGCACAGUUUGAAUAUUCGACGACAAAACAUCGGGCAAGCUAACCUGCAUGGGUUUCCACGUCGAUAAUUAAAUCCGUUUGAACAUUGGAACAAACGAAACUAACGUUUUGUAGGUCCACAUUUUUGCUGUAAGAAAAAACUUGAAUAAUUAAAACAAAAAAAUCGAGUUGAUGGAAAUUUAUUGUUAUAACGUUAUACCACUCGCCUUUAUAUCUGUAUCUCGUUUUCCACCCUCUAUAUUUCCCUAAAUUUUGCCUAUUCCAGGAAAACUGACCCAAAUCGGCGGGACCACUCUGCUAAAUGCCCCUCUGAUCUCGCGUACUUCACGUCACGUACAAAACGAAAAGGGUUUUUUUAUUCGCCACGGAUCGCUUACCCCGACCCAUUUGAAACACAUAAUUCAGCACAAUAAGCGUUAUACGCUAAACAAGACAGCAAUGUGCACACACACACACACACACACGCAGACGACUAGGAGGAAUACCGUUGCAGCUGUCACGGAUAAAGAUAAUAAACUGCAAGAUUGCAGCUAAGUCCCCUUCACGUGUGAACAUUUCUUUUCUGUUUUUGUUUUUCAUUUACAUAUAACAUAUAAUAUAUUAUCUUUCUGUACUGAAGCCUCAAACAAAACAUGAUGUCACGAUUUCCAUUUCAAGAACGUUACAAAUAUCGUUUAUGUACCUAAAAUAUUACAACACACUGCAAUUAUACAACAUAUAUAUAUAUAUCGCAUUGUUAAGAACCCCUGGUAAUAUUAGUUAGUAUUUAAUAUAGUUAGCGUAUAAUAAUAUUGUACAGCGGCGACUGUCUGGAAGGAUUGCUGUGACAGCAAUUCCAGGCAAGCGCUGGCUAUAGACACGGCUCGUAUAGCAAGCCGUGGCAGUUGGAUUUUAUAGUAGUAAGACAGAACAUUGUGAUUCUCUCCAGAACAUUUUUAUUGUCAGACCAUUUAUUAACAUAAUAUAUUAAUUCAUUAAAUUUAUUGUAAGUUUUCUUUUCAAAUUUAAAUAUAGAAAGUGAUAAUUA